UGUGGUGUAGCUCAGUAAUGCAGCACAUGCCUAGCAUGCCUGAGGCCUUGGGUUCAACCCCCAGAAUCACAG
rnacentral:tRNA from 2 species